ACUCAAAUGAAUAGACGGGGGCCCGCACAAGCGGUGGAGUAUGCGGUUUAAUUCGAAGCUACGCGAAGAACCUUACCAGCUCUUGACAUGCGGAUCGCGGAAUCUGGAAACAGAUUCCUUCAGUUCGGCUGGAUCCUGCACAGGUGUUGCAUGGUUGUCGUCAGCUCGUGUCGUGAGAUGUUGGGUUAAGUCCCGCAACGAGCGCAACCCUCAUCUUUAGUUACCAACAGGUUAUGCUGGGGACUCUAAAGAAACUGCCGGUGAUAAGCUGGAGGAAGGUGGGGAUGACGUCAAAUCAUCAUGGCCCUUAUGGGCUGGGCUACACGCGUACUACAAUGGCAACUACAAUGGGAUGCAAUAGGGCGACCUGGAGCAAAUCCGCUAAAAGUUGUCUCAGUUCGGAUUGCACUCUGCAACUCGAGUGCAUGAAGUUGGAAUCGCUAGUAAUCGUGGAUCAGCAUGCCACGGUGAAUACGUUCUCGGGCCUUGUACACACCGCCCGU
rnacentral:rRNA from 1 species